rnacentral:rRNA from 1 species
UACGUAGGGUGCAAGCGUUGUCCGGAAUUAUUGGGCGUAAAGAGCUUGUAGGCGGUUUGUCGCGUCUGCUGUGAAAUUUCGGGGCUCAACCCCCGAACUUGCAGUGGGUACGGGCAGACUAGAGUGUGGUAGGGGAGACUGGAAUUCCUGGUGUAGCGGUGAAAUGCGCAGAUAUCAGGAGGAACACCGGUGGCGAAGGCGGGUCUCUGGACAGUUCCUGACACUGAGGCACGAAGGCCAGGGGAGCAAACGGG